rnacentral:rRNA from 1 species
UGUAUCUGAAAUCAAGCAGGAUCACCCGCUGAACUUAAGCAUAUCACUAAGCGGAGGAGAAGAAAUUAACUAAGAUUGCCUCAGUAACGGCGAGUGAAGCGGCAAAAGCCCAAAAUGUAAAUCUUGUGCACAUCGUGUACACGAAUUGUAAUCUAGAGAGAGUUUACUCAACGGGCGGGGUCGCAGAAGUGACCACGAACGGUCCGCCAGAGAGGGUGAAAGCCCCGUAUGUGGUGGCCCUGCUUAACGAGUAGGUUUUCGAAGAGUCGGGUUGUUUUGUAUUGCAGCCCUAAGUGGGAGAUAAACUUCUUCUAAGGCUAAAUAUUAAUGGGAAACCGAUAGCGAACAAGUACUGUGAAGGAAAGAUGAAAAGAACUUUGAAAAGAGAGUCAAAAGACUUGAAAUCGUUGAGAAGGAAGGGGUAGAAGUUUAUUCUUCGGCGUAUGCAGAGUUUAGUUGCCUAACCAUUGCGGGCUAAGGAUACGUUAAAGGUCCUGGUUUGUACCUGGGGAAGCAACUGGAUGAGUGUGCGUCGUGAGACAAGAUGGGGUCGGGCGGCCACAAAGGCUUUGUACAACCGGUUUCCUUCGGGAGGCAGUGUGCGGAUGUCGGUGGAAGCUCGGCCUGAGGAUGCUUUCGGCGAUCUUGUCAAAAUGGCUCUUACCCACCCGUCUUGAAACACGGACCAAGGAGUCUAACAAGUAUGCGAGUGUGCUAGUGGAAAAACUAACACGCGUAAUGAAGGUGAUUGAUGCCAAGCGCAAGCAGCAGCAUCGACCGACCAUGAUCCUCCGGUGAAAGGUUUGAGUACGAGCAUAAUUGUUAGGACCCGAAAGAUGGUGAACUAUGCCUGAGUAGGGUGAAGCCAGGGGAAACUCUGGUGGAGGCUCGUAGCGGUUCUGACGUGCAAAUCGAUCGUCGAACUUGGGUAUAGGGGCGAAAGACUAAUCGAACCAUCUAGUAGCUGGUUCCCUCCGAAGUUUCCCUCAGGAUAGCUGGGACAAAUACGCAGUUUUAUUAGGUAAAGCGAAUGAUUAGAGGCCUCGGGGGUGCAAUGCCCUCGACCUAUUCUCAAACUUUAAAUUGGUAAGAACCCUGGCCUUUCUUAAUUGAGGCAUGGGGGCUCAAUGCGUGUCCCAAGUGGGCCAUUUUUGGUAAGCAGAACUGGCGAUGAGGGAUGCUCCUAACGUCGAGUUAAGGUGCCCAACUGCACGCUCAUCAGAUACCACAAAGGGUGUUGGUUCAUCCAGACAGCAGGACGGUGGCCAUGGAAGUCGGAACCCGCUAAGGAGUGUGUAACAACUCACCUGCCGAAUGGACUAGCCCCGAAAAUGGAUGGCGCUCAAGCGUGCGACCGAUACUCGACCAUU